CCCUUAGAUGUUCUGGGCCGCACGCGCGCUACACUGAUACAAGCAGCAAGUCGUUUCCUGGGCCGAAAGGUCUGGGUAAUCUUGUGAAAUUGUAUCGUGAUAGGGCUUGACGAUUGUAAUUAUUUGUCACAAACGAGGAAUUCCUAGUAAGCGCAAGUCAUCAACUUGCACUGAUUACGUCCCUGCCCUUUGUACACACCGCCCGUCGCUCCUACCGAUUGAAUGGUCCGGUGAAGCGUUCGGACCGUGGCCUUUGGACGGUUCGCCGUCUGUUGGCUGCGGGAAGUUCGUUAAACCUUAUCAUUUAGAGGAAGGAGAAGUCGUAACA
rnacentral:rRNA from 1 species